UACGGGGGGAGCAAGCGUUGUUCGGAUUUACUGGGCGUAAAGGGCGCGUAGGCGGCCACCGCAAGUCGACUGUGAAAUCUCCGGGCUUAACUCGGAAAGGUCAGCCGAUACUGCGGGGCUAGAGUGCAGAAGGGGCAACUGGAAUUCUCGGUGUAGCGGUGAAAUGCGUAGAUAUCGGGAGGAACACCUGUGGCGAAAGCGGCGCACUGGACCAUAACUGACGCUGAGGCGCGAAAGCUAGGGGAGCAAACAGG
rnacentral:rRNA from 1 species